GAAAGUAAGUAAGGGCGUAUGGGGGAUGCCUAGGCUCUUGGAGGCUAAGAAGGACGUGGUAAGCUGCGAAAAGCUGCGGGGAUUUGCAAACGAGACUCGAUCCGCAGAUAUCCGAAUGGGACAACCCGGCAGGUAGAAGACCUGUCACACCGCGAGGUGAGCUAACCCUCUGAACUGAAACAUCUAAGUAGGAGGAGGAAAAGAAAGAAACAUCGAUUUCCAAAGUAGCGGCGAGCGAAAUGGAAGAAGCCCAAACCGAUAUUGUUACGGCAAUAUCGGGGUUGUAGGACUGCAAUAUUCAAUUAACAAUGAACUGGAAUGGUCUGGAAAGUCCAUCCAUAGAGAGUGAAAGGCUCGUACAGGUAAGUUUGUUAUGCGAAAGCAGUAUCCUGAGUAUGGCGGGACACGAGGAAUCCUGUCAGAAUCAGCCGGGACCACCCGGUAAGGCUAAAUACUCCCAAGAGACCGAUAGUGGACCAGUACUGUGAAGGAAAGGUGAAAAGAACCCCGAACAGGGGAGUGAAAUAGAACCUGAAACCAUACGCUUACAACCGGUCGGAGCAGCUUCGUGCUGUGACGGCGUGCCUAUUGAAUAAUGAGCCUACGAGUUACUAAUCACUAGCGAGGUUAAGUGCAAGGAUGCACGGAGCCGAAGCGAAAGCGAGUCUGAACAGGGCGUUUAGUUAGUGGUUGUAGACGCGAAACCUUGCGAUCUACCCUUGAGCAGGUUGAAGGUUGGGUAAAACCAACUGGAGGACCGAACGAAUAAGCGUUGAAAAGCUUCUCGAUGACUUGAGGGUAGGGGUGAAAGGCUAAUCAAGCUGGGAAAUAGCUCGUACUCCCCGAAAUGCCUUUUGGGGCAGCGUUGUAAUAAAGAGUCUACUGGAGGUAGAGCUACUGAUUGGAUGCGGGGGCUUCACCGCCUACCAAAUCCUGACAAACUCCGAAUGCCAGUAGUAUGAUUUACAGCAGUGAGUGACUGGGUGCUAAUGUCCAGUCGCAAAAGAGGAACAACUCAGACCAGCAACUAAGGUCCCGAAGAAUAUGCUAAGUUGAUCUAACGAUGUUUUGUUGCAGAGACAGCUAGGAUGUUAGCUUGGAAGCAGCUAUUCAUUCAAAGAGUGCGUAACAGCUCACUAGUCGAGCGACAGAGCGUGGAUAAUAAACGGGCAUCAAGCAUAUCACCGAAGUUCUGGGCGCGAGAGCGCGGUAGGGGAGCAUUCCAUUCAGCGUCGAAGCAGUUUCGUGAGGAAUUGUGGAGCGUAUGGAAAAGCAAAUGUAGGCAUGAGUAACGAUAAUGCGGGAGAGUAACCCGCACACCGCAAGACCAAGGUUUCCUGAUCAACGCUAAUCGGAUCAGGGUUAGUCGGGUCCUAAGGGUAAGCCGAACGGCGAUCUCGAUGGAUAAUCGGUUAAUAUUCCGAUACUAACAUAUACCUCGAUGGAGAGACGAAGGAACGUAAGUGCCGCCACCUGACGGAAUAGGUGGUUAAAGGGCGUAGAUAUAGGGGCAGAUUAAGAGUUAGUCCUUGCUGAAACCUGACAGUACAGAGAGCCUACGGGCAAUUUGAUAGAGCACCCAAGUCGACUUCCGAGAAAAUCUUCUAAGUUAUAGUAUAUGUUACCCGUACCGUAAACCGACACAGGUGGUCGAGGAGAGUAUCCUAAGGUGCUCGAGUGAAUCACGGUUAAGGAACUAGGCAAAUUAACCCCGUAACUUCGGGAAAAGGGGUCCCUAUGAAAGUAGGGCGCAGCGAAGAGGUCCAGGCGACUGUUUAUCAAAAACACAGGGCUCUGCAAAUUCGAAAGAAGACGUAUAGGGCCUGACACCUGCCCGGUGCUGGAAGGUUAAGAGGGGAUGUCAUCGCAAGAGAAGCAUUGAAUCGAAGCCCCAGUAAACGGCGGCCGUAACUAUAACGGUCCUAAGGUAGCGAAAUUCCUUGUCGGGU
rnacentral:rRNA from 1 species